rnacentral:rRNA from 1 species
UACGUAGGCAGCAAGCGUUGUUCGGAAUUACUGGGCGUAAAGAGUGUGUAGGCGGUGCUCUAAGUCUGUUGUGAAAUCUCCCGGCUUAACCGGGAGGGUGCGGCGGAAACUGGAGUGCUUGAGGGUGGGAGAGGUAAGCGGAAUUCCUGGUGUAGCGGUGAAAUGCGUAGAUAUCAGGAGGAACACCUGUGGCGUAGACAGCUUACUGGACCACUUCUGACGCUGAGACACGAAAGCGUGGGUAGCAAACAGG